CUCCACAAAGCCCACAGCAGCAGUGGCAACAGAGGGAGUCCGUCAGCAUAUCCUCUCCACCUCCAGGAUCCAGAUGGAGAUGUUGCCUUUGUAUGACUAGCCUACAUUAUGGAUCUCAGUGCGGAGUAAUGGAACUAAUUUGCUGAAGCUAUGAACAACCAUGCCUGCUAUCUCCAGAGAGUGGGAGGACUCUGAGGAAUGCAGCAGACAGAACGGUGAGUCA